rnacentral:rRNA from 1 species
GAUGAACGCUGGCGGCGUGCUUAACACAUGCAAGUCGAACGGUGAAGCAGGAGCUUGCUCCUGUGGAUCAGUGGCGAACGGGUGAGUAACACGUGAGCAAUCUGCCCUGGACUCUGGGAUAAGCGUUGGAAACGACGUCUAAUACCGGAUACGAGGCGUGGGGGCAUCCCCAACGCCUGGAAAGAACUUCGGUCCAGGAUGAGCUCGCGGCCUAUCAGGUAGUUGGUGAGGUAACGGCUCACCAAGCCUACGACGGGUAGCCGGACUGAGAGGGUGGCCGGCCACACUGGGACUGAGACACGGCCCAGACUCCUACGGGAGGCAGCAGUGGGGAAUAUUGCACAAUGGGCGCAAGCCUGAUGCAGCAACGCCGCGUGAGGGACGACGGCCUUCGGGUUGUAAACCUCUUUUAGCAGGGAAGAAGCGAAAGUGACGGUACCUGCAGAAAAAGCACCGGCUAACUACGUGCCAGCCGCCGCAGUAAUAC